rnacentral:lncRNA from 1 species
GCCCGCACGUCAUGGCCUGGAUGAUGAUCUCGUGCUCCUCCUGGGACACGCGCUUGUGCGAGGUGAGGGGCAGCAGGCAGCGGCUGGCGGGGGACGGAUCCACCCCCUGCAGCCACGCGUGGCCCUCGAUCUGCUCCAGGGAGGCUCUCUGCCGGGGGUCCCUCUGCAGCAUCCUGGAGAUGAGGUCGGAGCACUGUGCGGAGACGUGCGGGGGCACGGUGUAGCGGCAGUCCAUGAUCAUGGUGAGCGUCUCGCUGUCGUUGGCCUCCUGGAAGGGCGGCUGCCCGCACACCAGCAUGUAGAGGAUGACCCCCAGGCUCCAGAUGUCUGCAAGAGGAACAGGAAGACGAGAGUCACUAAAGCCCCUCAGGAAGCCAAAAUGUGACCGCUGCGGUCACGCUGCC